rnacentral:sRNA from 1 species
CUGGGAAGACAAAGAUAAUAAGACACAGUCCCUGCUGUGAGGAAGCUCAUGCACUAUUGAAGAAGAGAUUCACAAAAACAAAGAAUCACAAUGUAGACAAAUUCAGUAACCACCAGGCAUAAAUUCACCAGGAACAACCAAGCAAGGAAGGAAGGAGAAGAAGCUGAUGCAACAAGUGGGCCCCAGUAUGGACAAAGGCACUGACGAGGUGACCAGGCCACGUGGAGGAGAGUCAAGGAAAAACUCUUGGGACAACGAAGUCUUUGCCACCAUCUCAGGACCU